rnacentral:snoRNA from 1 species
AAGAUCAUACUUUCAGGGAUCAUCUCUAUAGUUUGUUACUUAGUAUUCUUCAAAAGAUGAAAUUACAGUGAUGCAGAAAACAGCGGUUGCUAGGCUAAGUUACUCUCAUCCCCUUCCCCUUACUCCUCAUCUGCUGU